CCCCGUCCCGCCCCGUGCCUGGGCUGGCCGCGCCGGAGGUGCCACAAGGCGGGGGCAGCGCCCCGAAGUCCGUCCCGCUGGAAAACCGGGAGAGCGGCCGCUGCUGGGGGUUCCGGAGGGCCGGGGAGCCCCCUCAGCCGCCCGCACCUGCACCGCGGCUCACCUGGACACGGCGCGCUCUGCUCUGCCCGCGGAGCGCCCACAGCACAAGGGGGGGAGAGCUCAGCUGAAGUUUGUUAAACAAAACCUCAAAGCCAACCAAAUCCUCGCGCUGGGCGCUGAUGAGCUCCGUGCCACCGGGAGUGCCACAGGUGUAGUGUGUUCGCUGUAAUGCAAAUGCCAAAUCUCUCGCACAUGAGCGGCGGCGGGAGAAUGGCCAUCGGGAGCUGCACCUGCGGAUAAUGAUUAGCUGAUACUCCCUCGGAGCGCACUCGAGCCUGGGGAAAUCCGUCCCGGUUUUCCGCCCUCCCCCAGCCCAAGAUGAGGGCUGCGCAAACCUCACAGGCUUAUAAACCUCACUUGUCUCAUCUACACUCCCACCUGGAAGAGUACAGCUUUUCUGUUUUGGCAGCAGGAAUGAUACCUGGAGGGAAAGAAAAGUUGACUUCCCUUACUUCAGGAGAGGUUUCAGGUCAGGCUUCCCUGACAGAGGUUUGGAAUUUAAAUGUGCUGUUGCAGUGCAUUUGAUCUGAUCGAGCACAGUAGUGGGCGGUUGUUGUAAGAUGAAAAAGGAUAAACAGCUAAAACCCGAGUUCUCAGGAGCUUUUUGUUUUCUGGCAUCCUAUCAAAAUGCUAAUGCAGAAGGAGAGCAGCAGAGAAGUUGUCCAUGUUUCAUGAUAGUGGGAACUGUCCUGCAUAAUGAGAGAUUUAACAGGUUAAAUGUAUCAUCUGAGAUAGGCAUUAGCAAUACUAUCCCUCUAAUAUUACCUUGCAUUCCUAAGUGGUAGAACAUCUCUCAUACUGUACUUUUGCAUUUUUCCUCUUAACAAAAUAAUCUCUGAGUUUAAAUAAAUGUUAAAAGGAGCCAAUCAAUGUUUGUACUUAUCUGCUUUUGAGCACAGUGAACACAACCUAUUUUAGACACUCUCAUUAGUAUUCACCAACCAGUUGACCUUUUCAGUCCCAUCAUUAUGUAAAAGACAGAACACACUUUUUCUCUUCCUUACAGUGAAGUUAUUGCUGAGGAGAAUAUGAUUAAUAUAUGAAAGACAAGACGAUAUUGACUCUUGCAGCUGCCCUGUACUCAGCAGAAAAGGAGUUGUUCAGAGCAUUACACUGGGUUCUCAGCCAUGAAUACAACUGUAAUGCCAUAAUCCCAGCUCGGCAUUGUCGGUCUGAUCCUGUGUGCCUUGCACAAACAGCACUGCACUUCAGGCAAAGGGAAGUCUAGGAUGCCAAAGAGGUUUUAAUAUAUGUGCCCCCUGGUCAUUUAUAUAAAUAAAAUGUAAUUACCA